CCCAUCCCUGGGAUUCUCCAGAUGGCUGCAAGAUUGGGCAUCUAAUUUUAUCAUCUGACCAUUUGGUGAUUUCCCUUGGAUGAUGGACACCUAUUCUAAGUUGUAGGACUUCCCUGGAGU